UAGGGAAUCUUCCGCAAUGGGCGAAAGCUUGACGGAGCAACGCCGCGUGAGUGAUGAAGGUCUUCGGAUCGUAAAACUCUGUUAUUAGGGAAGAACAAAUGUGUAAGUAACUAUGCACGUCUUGACGGUACCUAAUCAGAAAGCCACGGCUAACUACGUGCCAGCAGCCGCGGUAAUACGUAGGUGGCAAGCGUUAUCCGGAAUUAUUGGGCGUAAAGCGCGCGUAGGCGGUUUUUUAAGUCUGAUGUGAAAGCCCACGGCUCAACCGUGGAGGGUCAUUGGAAACUGGAAAAUUUGAGUGCAGAAGAGGAAAGUGGAAUUCCAUGUGUAGCGGUGAAAUGCGCAGAGAUAUGGAGGAACACCAGUGGCGAAGGCGACUUUCUGGUCUGUAACUGACGCUGAUGUGCGAAAGCGUGGGGAUCAAACAGG
rnacentral:rRNA from 1 species